CCUAAUUUCCUCCUCCAACAAUUGACGCCACUGCUCGACAUCAUCUCCUAUUUCAAACCCUAAAGUAUCAAUUUUCUUUCUGAUUCUUGUCUAACAACUUCAGUUCUUGUAAUAACAACUUCAACACAGAUUGAGGUUUCGAAAAUCUCUACUGAGGAUAUGCAAGUGAGGUAUUCUUCAGAUUAGGGUUCUACUCUAUUAAAUUUUUAUUUUUCAGAUUUAGAGUUCUAUUUUGUAUUAUUCAUAUUAGGGUUCUUAUACAUGGUUGUAUGAUCGUUUAAUUAUUGAAGAACGAUACAAGAAGAUGAAGCCGAUGGCGAUUCAAGCCGAUUGGAUCAUGUGAAACCUUGAUGAAAGGUAGAAUAAGAAAGAGAUGGGAAGAUGGAGGAAUAGAGAGAGACAGAUCCAGGAACGUCGACUCUUGGAAUCAUGUUUUGGUGCUUCAGAUCCUACAAAAAAUGUUCAAAUAAUGGCAGGUUUUGAUUCAGAAUUCAGAAACAUGGUUUUGGCCAGGCUGUAAGCAAGAUCUUCUUCCCUUCGCAAAACCCUAAAUUGCCCUUUGUGAAAUAGGCCGAUAUCGGAACUGUGAUCAGGCUGCGGUUUCGAGUUAUGGGGAACCGAGUGGACAUGGAACUGUUGUAUGAGAAAACUUAUUUUAUUGCUACUGGAAGGUAGAAGGUGUUAUACACAAAGGUGGAUAGGCGAUUGUUUCCCAAAAAACAUCUCCAGGCUUAUGGAGGAAGAUGAUAAAGAACUUAUCUCUGUCUCCGAGACCAGCUUAGAAAACCUUUUUGUUGCAGUUAGGGAUCCGACGCUAACACAAUUACGGUGGUUGCUAUGGUUGAUUUCAGCAAUAUUGGAACAGUUCUAUCUCAAGGUUUAUUGAAUCUGGCGAUCGUCAUCAUCGCUGGAAGUUGGUUCUGAGCUGUCAUCGUCGAUUUCAUUAGAACCAUAGCAGUGGUGAUGUUGAUUGGCUUGGGCGUCA